rnacentral:piRNA from 1 species
UCGUUCAAGGAGAUGGUGUUGUUGAACCC